GUACGCACGCAAGUGUGAAACUCAAAGGAAUUGACGGGGCCGCACAAGCGGUGGAGUAUGUGGUUUAAUUCGAUGCAACGCGAAGAACCUUACCAGGACUUGACAUGGAUCGGGAGUGCUCAGAGAUGGGUGUGCCUCUUUUGGGGUCGGUUCACAGGUGGUGCAUGGCUGUCGUCAGCUCGUGUCGUGAGAUGUUGGGUUAAGUCCCGCAACGAGCGCA
rnacentral:rRNA from 1 species